GGCAAGGAGUCCUGGGAUGGUUAAAUUAGGUGGUCAGGUUCUUGAGCAUUUGUCUGCCCAGUUGUCAUUAUUUUAAUUUAAAUUUUUCUCUUUUUUUAAAUAAUUAGUUAAAGUUCGUGGUUAAGAAAGGAAAUCAAAUUGAAAAUUUGUAUAUAGAAUUAACCUUGCCUCAGUUCUACAGCUUCCUGCACGAGAUGGAGCGAGUCAGAGCCAGCAUGGAGUGCUUUGGCUGAUUGCUACUGUCCACUGCAGUUCCCCAGCCCCUGCGCUAGGAACUGCUCCCAGAGGCACCUCCUGCAGGCCCUUGGGCACUCCUUGCAGUUAUUUGGCUUCUUGGGAGCCCAGGUGCAAAAGGUUUCUGAAAAACAACAGGAUUAGGUACUUAACAAGCCCUGCACAACUUCCCUGUAAACUCCUUGUCCAGAGAACCACCACCACCUAUCUCUCUGGAGAAGUUUUGGAUUUUCCAACAGUCUAUUGCGUCUCAGAUUCACUGGUGAAAAUAAAAGUUCCAAAGUAAA